rnacentral:rRNA from 1 species
AUUGAACGCUGGCGGCAUGCUUUACACAUGCAAGUCGAACGGCAGCACGGGAGCUUGCUCCUGGUGGCGAGUGGCGAACGGGUGAGUAAUGCAUCGGAACGUACCCAGUAGUGGGGGAUAGCCCCGGCGAAAAGCCCGGAUUAAUACCGCAUAUUUCCCUGAGGGAGAAAGCGGGGGACCUUCGGGCCUCGCGCUACUGGAGCGGCUGAUGUCGGAUUAGCUAGUUGGUGAGGUAAAGGCUCACCAAGGCGACGAUCCGUAGCUGGUCUGAGAGGAUGAUCAGCCACACUGGGACUGAGACACGGCCCAGACUCCUACGGGAGGCAGCAGUGGGGAAUUUUGGACAAUGGGGGCAACCCUGAUCCAGCCAUGCCGCG